CUGGAGACUGCGCGGUCGAGGAUUCAGGAGGAGAAACUGUAGUUGAAGGUUCUGGAGACUGCGCAGUCGAAGAAUCUGGAGGUGAAACUGUGGUUGAAGGUUCUGGAGACUGCGCGGUCGAGGAUUCAGGGGGAGAAACUGUAGUUGAAGGUUCUGGAGACUGUGCAGUGGAAGAAUCCGGAGGUGAAACUGUGGUUGAAGGUUCUGGAGACUGCGCAGUGGAAGACUCAGGGGGUGAAACUGUAGUUGAAGGUUCUGGAGACUGCGCAGUCGAAGAAACAGGUGGUAAAACUGUAGUCGAUUCCGUAGGUUUACCUGUUGU